GAUUUUUUUUCUAAUGGACUUAAGCCACUUAUGAGCCUUAUUCAACUGGAUGCAAUGGAUGGGAAGACUAACAGCAUGGAUGAUUCAACAGAUGAAGUUCAGUCUAUGGAUGUGAGUCCAGCUUCAAAGGAAGAACUCAUUUCCAUCCCUGAAUUUUCACCAUUGAAUGAAAUAAUGCCAGGUGUAUCUUUGGACCAAAAUGGAUCAAAUAAUGGCAAGGCUCUUGAAGAUCUACUAGAUUUUACUGGCCAGGCUACUUAUCCUAAACUAUCUAGUGAAAGUCUCAGCAUAGAUGAUUGUAAUAAAAACUUGAUUGAUGGAUUUAAUAGUCCAGGACAGGAGUCAACUUUCAACACCUUAUGUUGACACACACUCCUACUCAGCAAUAAGAGGAAGUAAUUUGGAGGAUAUAAUGGCUCCUGAUGCUGCUGCUGUCGGUAAAAUAAGAGCUUGUCAUUUGAAGAAGCUGCUGCAGUCCUCAACACUGGAUGUCAUCUUAUUCUGCACUGAAUUUACUGUCUUCCCAUAUGUAUUUGUCAAAUAAUUAACCAUUUUUGGUAAAGAGUGGAAUCUUCUGUUUGGACUGAUUUCAGGGCACAUUUGCAGGAAUUGUUUAGAAUAUGAGCUUCAGCUGCUAAGAAAAAUGUGGGCAUACAAUAUCUGUCUCCUCAGGCUCCUGAGCCUGUUCAUUAAUUUUGAAAAAACAUUUAGUUUUAUCAUGGAACUAUCUGGAUUUUUUUUUUAUGGUUGUAAAUGCAUCAUAAUUAAAGUGUGUUCUGCAUUUGCCAUACACCUGUCUUUGAUUUGUUUUUUCCCUUAGGAAAAGGUGAAUUUUUGCUGCCAUUUAUUACAGAUGUUUAAUUGCAAUUUUUUUACAGAGAAGGCAACUGCUGGGAACAAAGGGGCCUUUCCUGCAGAAAGUAAUAUUGCUGCUCCUUAGAACAGUGCAUAUAACAUUAUUUUUAUUCUUUUCUGUCAUUAUGUCAGAUGGAACUGAACUAUACUGGUAAAAGAAAUGAAUAAGAUGGCUCUUUAAAGUGUAAUUUUAACGGUUUAUGGAAAAAAAGGUCAAUGUGUUUAAUCAUAUGUAUUAUAGAAUUGUAUCAUGGCUGAUGAUAUGUUAAUGUUUAAGACACAGCAUUUCUUGUCAGUACCAGGUGGCUUUCUUUUUAGUAAGUUCCUACAAACUCAGCAACAUAUAAUUAACAACAAACCAUACAUAAACAUAGGCAACAGGAUACUUAUAAGGCACAAUCUUGAAUACUGAAAAUUGCACCCAUGCAACUUUAAGCCUCUUGCAAACUCUACAAAUAUGUAUAAGGGAAGGUUUUUGAGAAUAUAUAGACAUUUUGUUUGCCAAAUGAAGGGUGUGAUCAAGCCCACAUUAAGAAUGUUUAAGUGGCACUGAACUAAGUGGAACUUAAUAGUGCUUAACUUGGACUAGAUUGUGCCUAAAACAUUUCAACUUUUGGUGAACUCUUAACUUUUAUGCUGUAUUCUGUGCUGCCUAGAGGGCAGUUCUGUCCCGUUCUUUACAAAAAUAAAUCUGUUUGAAGCUGAUAAAAUUGGAAACUUUUAUAUAUAGGGAUGUGUUAAAAUGUAAUGUAGCUCUGUUCUUGUGAUUCUAAAAAGAACACCUGUUGAAAAGUUAAAGUAGAUUACAAACUACGUGAAAAUAUACAAAAAUGCUUUCAAUAUUUAUGUUGAUGUAUUUCAGCAAAUACUUUCUUGGUAACUGUGCAGUAUGUUGUAGCAUGGUACAGUGUCUUCCAAGUAAAUUCUGCAGUUUUCCUCUUAAACAAUAAAAA